UCCUACGGGAGGCAGCAGUCGGGAAUUUUGGGCAAUGGGCGAAAGCCUGACCCAGCAACGCCGCGUGAAGGAUGAAAUCCCUCGGGAUGUAAACUUCGCAAGAUUGGGAAGAAUAAGUGUGGGCUAAUACCCUUCAUGAUGACGGUACCAUUUGUAAGCUCCGGCUAACUUCGUGCCAGCAGCCGCGGUAAU
rnacentral:rRNA from 1 species